GUAGUUUUCAAACAAAUCCAAUGUUGGGCCAAGCCUUGCCAGCCGGUAAUAGCCGAAGGCAAAAAAGGGGGAGAUAGGGAAGAGGAGAUUAAGGAUAGUCACUCCACUCCAUAGAUAGUGCACACAGAUUCUUCUUUCAUUUUCCAUUCCUUUCGGGUCGGAAACGCGGGCUGCUAGUGGGGCUGUGCCCAUUCUCCCUCUUCUUCCGCUUUACAACCGGAAUAAGGAACCUUAGAAUUCACCCUACCUGUCGAUGAAAAAAUGGGAUUUGAGAGGAGCUGAAAGCCACUUGACUCUAAGGAGAGGACCACCAGCUAGCGGAUCAGAAAGAUUUGUAUGGAAUGUCCUACUCCUGCCUGAGCUUUCCGAUCAACCAAUCCCCUAUUUCAGGGACAUCUGUGUUAGGUAGGCCCAGGGAUCACUGAUUAGUCGAAUGAGCCCAUCUCUCUGGCCUAUCAUUU
rnacentral:lncRNA from 1 species